AGCGUGACUAGGGCUGCCCAGAGUAAACUACCCCCAGCGUGACUAGGGCUACCCAGAGUAAACUACCCCCAGCGUGACUAGGGCUGCCCAGAGUAAACUACCCCCAGCGUGACUAGGGCUACCCAGAGUAAACUACCCCCAGCGUGACUAGGGCUACCCAGAGUAAACUACCCCCGGCGUAACAGAGUAGGCCUCGUCCAGGCCCAUCACUGGGCUCGAACCUGGACCCUUCUGCACAACACUCACAAAGCAGCGUUUACCCGUCACAAAUAACUACUUCAAGGACUGCUGCUACAGAGACAGAUGUACGGAGCCAGAAUACGCUUCUGCCACCAUGGAGCGGCCAUGCCAGAGACAGAGCAAGGCAGCACCAACCACAACAAGUCAAAUCCCACCCAGUCAACCAUUAGAAAUGCUUUGGAUAAUAUAUUCCAUUUGGUAGAUGCUAUUAUGAAAUGCUCCGGUGACUGUCUGCAGGAUCUUUAGGUAUAGUGGGAUGUUGUCACACUACAUUGACCAGGCGCAUAGACUCGGCCUGAAAGCUGGCAUUGGGAACUACGAUACGCUACUCCCGAGACUAAUUCUACUUAGCUUAGCUGUUUGUAGCCGGAGCAUCAAGAGAGCGGGUAUACUACUGCAGCAGUGUUUACGCCAGGCCUGGUACUGGUCCUCCUUUCCAAACUGCUACUACAGGAACACACCUAAAGCACUCGCAAGGUCCUUCCUCUUUCUCUGAACAACAUCCUGUUAACCGUUCAUACAGAUGUGAUUGUACUGUGGUAUAUAUAUAUAUAUAUAUAUUUUUUUUUUACCGUGAACAAUGUUUUGUAGUCUGUUAAUGAAGUGCUUAUGCUGAUCAUGUACCAGGUAGCACUUCUGAUAUAUUUUUAACAUUUUCUUGUUUUUAGUAACGAAGAGACUUAUAUGGACAGCAUCAGUAUUCAUUGAUGGUAAUAACAGUAAUGAGGUAUGUGAAGAAAUGUGACAACUUAGCUGUGAUUUAAAAGCUGUUUGGAAUCAAACUGAAGAUACGGGGGAGCUUCUAUUGGCUGAAGUGGUUCCCGCUGAAUGUACUCAGACCCCUUUAUUCCACGUGAUGUGUUAAAGCCUGAAAUAUAUUUAAUACAUUUUGAAUGCUGUCACCCAUCUACACACAAUACAAAAGUAGCGAAUUUUACAGAAAUAUUCAACCCCCUGAGUCAUUACAUGUUAGAAUCACUUUUUGGAAGCGAUUACAACUGUGAGUCUCUUAAGAGCUUUGCACAUCAUUUUUUAUAUAUUUUUAUUUAUUUUUUAACAUUCUUUAAGCUCUGUCAAGUUGGUUGUUCAUCAUUGCUAGACAGCCAUGUUCAAGUCUUGCCAUGGAUUUUAAGUCCAAACUAACUCAGCCAUUCAGGAACAUUCAAUGUCGUCUUGGUAAGCAACUGUAGUGUAUAUUUGGCCUUGUGUUUUAGGUUAUUGUCCUGCUGAAAGGUGAAUGUGUCUCCCAGAAAGUAGACGGAACCAGGUUUUCCUCUAGGAUUUUGUCUGUGUUUAGCUAUAUCCUGUUUCUUUUUAUUCUAAAAAAAACUGCCUAGUCCUUGCCAAUGACAAACAUACCCAUAACAUGAUGCAGCCACCACCAGGCUUGAAAAUAUGAAGCGUGGUACUUGAUGUUGUUUGCUCCAAACAUAACGCUUUGUUUUCAGGACAAAGUUAAUUUCUUUGCCACGUUUUGCUUUAGUGCCUUAUUGCAAACAGGAUGCAUGUUUUGGAAUAUGUUUUAUUCUGUACAGGCUUCCUUUUCACGCUGUCAUUUAGGUUAGUAGAGUAACUACAAUGUUGUUGAUCCAUCCUCAGUUCUCUAUCAUAGUGAAAUCCCUGAAUGGUUUCCUUCCUCACCGGUAGCUAAGUUAGGAAGGACACCUGUAUCUUUGCAGUGACUUGUGUAUUGAUACACCAUCCAAAGUGUAAUUAAUAACUUCAACAUGCUCAAAGGGAUAUUCAAAGUUGUUUUUUUUACCCAUGUACUAGGUUCCCUUCUUUACGAGACAUUGGAAAACCUCCCUGGUCUGUGUGGUUCGACCUGUUUUGAAAUUCACUGCCCGACUGAGGGACCUUGCAUGUGUGGAGUAGUCAUUAAAAAAAAAUCUAACACAAAUAUUGCACACAGAGUCCGUGCAACUUAUGACAUGUUAAGCAAAUUUGUACUCCUGAACUUAUUUAGGCUUUCCCUAACAAAGGGGUUGAAUACUUAUUGACUCAAGACAUUUCCGCUUUUCAUGUUUUGUAGAAAUUUUCAAAAACAUAAUUCAAUAUUGUGAGGGUGACACAAUCUCAAUUGUAUUCAUUUUAAAUUCAGGCUGUAACACAAACAAAAUGUGUAAAUAGUCAAAGGGGUGUGGAUACAUUGUAUCGAUCUUUCCUUAUGAAUCUAGCCCUAAUUAGACUUUGUUUGAAGAAAAAUAAGAGAAAUAAAAAAAGGUUUUCACGAGUUUCCCCAAUAGUGGAAACAAGUAUUUAAGAAUCUCUUUGAAUGUGUACUCUCCUUUUAAACUUGGCUAUUCAUAUGUUGUUGUCGUCAUUGACAACCGUACUGUAGCUCUUUUGUCGUCGUUUUAUGCAUUGAUUGACCUGUGAACGCAUUACAUUUAGAUCUAACUAUCAGUAGGAAUAUGUAUAAUCAUAUGCUGUUCAGCGAGUUGAACCUGCAGAUCUGUUGUUCUGGAGUACAGGCUAACGAAACAAUGCUCAUAUGAAGUGCUAGUUGACUGUGUUGUCUUUUUUUUUCUUGAUCUGUUAAGACUGCUGGGACCUUGUUAAAGUUACAGGUGACAUAGACCCUGUCUGCCUUAGAGGAUAAAGCUACAGGUGACAUAGACCCUGUCUGCCUUAGAGGAUAAAGCUACAGUCAUGUCUUUAGUUGUAUGCCUGUUCUUUCUAUUGAAGACCCUUCUAGGGUUAUGUGCAAUGACAAUGUUUUGUAAAUGUGUAAUAUUUAACCUUUUAAAGUUGUAGAAUGACAAGCUUGUAUUUUUCUCAAUAUUUAUAAAUGCUACAGUACUACCCUUGAGCAGGUUCAUACAUGCGAUGGUUGUCUGUUGGCACACAGGGUUCUGGGCGUGUAAUGAUAAAAGCAUCUCUGAGUAGGACUGCUGGAUCUCGGAUCAAGUCUCGCUGGUCCAUGUAAUAUUCAUUGUAAUCUAAAACUGAUCCUAGAUCAGUAAUCCUACUCUGAAACGUGAUAAGAAUACAGGCCCUUGUGUUGGAAGUGUCUAAAAAUCCAUUUUGUCAUAGGUCUUACUUACUUUCUAUGGUUUUGUACAUUAACUCCCAAGUUGUGGUAAUAAAAUGCAUACAAGGCUCUAAAUGCUACAUGACUUAAGGCCAUUUUAAUCUAAAUAAAAAUAAAGUUAAUUCCAUUAGACAACAAAAUUAUGGCAAAAUAAAUAUUAACCAAUGGGUUCCAUAGGCAACUCCCAGCUGUUGUUUUAAGUAGGUACAGUGGGGCAAAAAAGUAUUUAGUCAGCCACCAAUUGUGCAAGUUCUCCCACUUAAAGAUGAGAGAGG
ensembl:lncRNA